CCAGGUAGGCUCCCGGGAGGGCCGGGCUGGCGGGAAGCUGGGCGUGGAGGGGACGGGGGCCUGCGCCGCGACCCCGCCGCGCUGCCGUUGUUCCCAGGCGAUUGCUGUUUCGCGGCUCGGCGAUGCAGACCACGUAAAGGACAACGGAAAACGUCUCCCUGCUGGGGCCGGUUCUGUAACGUAUUGAGCGCUCACGUUCUGAAAAAAACCUUUGGACCCUCUUCUACCUCCGCCGAGAAAGCCCAUCUGGAAGGAAACUCUAAACAGCUUCAAGUGUCACUUGGCUGACAUCACAGCCGACCCGAGAGAGGCAGGAAGAAGUUGUACUUCUACUGAAGACGUUCGUACUUUUGAACGUGAAUUAUGCCUGCCCCUUCUCCAGUCUUGUGGAUUCCUAGUGUCUACAGUGGAAAGAUCUGAGAAUCUACAUCAAAGGACAUUAAUACCGCCCACCAAUAUGAGGACAUGAAACCAAUCAGCAGUCCAGAAGACGUUUAGUACAGAGGUUCAAGCCUAUGGUUCUACUCUCGGCUCUGUCCCUACCCAACCUCGUGACCCUCCUAGGAAAUCACUUACCCUCUCUGUAACUCAGUGUCCCUCAUCUGUAAAAUAGGGAUACCACUUACCACGAACACUGGGUUUUGGGUCUCUUCCCAUUGGCAGAGGAUGAUUGCUUAAACCCAAGGAGUGGAAGCCCGGCUUAAAGGAUUUUAUUUGUUUGGUCAUAUUUGGAUUCCUGUAUUGAGAACAUACAAGUAUUUUUAUCAUAAUCAUUAUCCUUAUCAAUAUCUGGGUAAUACAAACUGAGGCAAAGAGGCCAGGAAAAAUGA